AUGGUGAUCACGAGCAGCUCCGUCUGCCUGGGAGCUGUCCAGCAGGAUAUCGGACGUGGUGCGUUCGAUCCUAACCGCCCCGCGGUGUGCCCCCGUGGACGUCCCUGCGGGCGCUACCCAGGCGGUCCGUAUAUCCCCUACCCCGGCCGUCCUUAUUAUCCACCCUACCGCGGAGGAGCUCCUCCCCCGAACGAUGGGGGGAUUGGACGACCUUGAUAAUGAUGCAUGCCUUGCACUAGCAGUACAAGUUACUGCCACGGCCUUACUUAACCGUUACUGAUAUAGUAUAUCGUGUACUUCCGCUUAGUACACCGAAUAAGAAUUGCAUGUAUAGCCGUGAUAUGAAUGUAAAAGUUCGAUUCAGAGAAAAUAAAGAUGGACAGUGAGC